rnacentral:rRNA from 1 species
UACGUAGGGGGCAAGCGUUGUCCGGAUUUAUUGGGCGUAAAGAGCGUGUAGGCGGCUAGGUAGGUCCGUUGUGAAAACUCGAGGCUCAACCUCGAGCUGUCGAUGGAAACCAUCUGGCUAGAGUCCGGAAGAGGAGAGUGGAAUUCCUGGUGUAGCGGUGAAAUGCGCAGAUAUCAGGAAGAACACCCGUGGCGAAGGCGGCUCUCUGGUACGUGACUGACGCUGAGGAGCGAAAGCAUGGGGAGCGAACAGG